rnacentral:rRNA from 1 species
CCUACGGGUGGCAGCAGUGAGGAAUAUUGGUCAAUGGGCGCGAGCCUGAACCAGCCAAGUAGCGUGAAGGAUGACUGCCCUAUGGGUUGUAAACUUCUUUUAUAUGGGAAUAAAAUGUUCCACGUGUGGGAUUUUGUAUGUACCAUAUGAAUAAGGAUCGGCUAACUCCGUGCCAGCAGCCGCGGUAAUACGGAGGAUCCGAGCGUUAUCUGGAUUUAUUGGGUUUAAAGGGAGCGUAGGUGGAUUGUCAAGUCAGUUGUGAAAGUUUGCGGCUCAACCGUAAAAUUGCAGUUGAAACUGGCAGUCUUGAGUACAGUAGAGGUGGGCGGAAUUCGUGGUGUAGCGGUGAAAUGCUUAGAUAUCACGAAGAACUCCGAUUGCGAAGGCAGCUCACUGGACUGCAACUGACACUGAGGCUCGAAAGUGUGGGUAUCAAACAGGAUUAGAUACCCUGGUAGUC